rnacentral:rRNA from 1 species
AAGAGCCCAAACCAAGAAGCUUGCUUCUUGGGGUUGUAGGACACUCUAUACGGAGUUACAAAAGAAAGUUAUAAAUGAAGCGGUCUGGAAAGGCCCGCCAAAGACGGUAACAGCCCGGUAGUUGAAAUGGCUUUCCCUCCAGAGUGGAUCCUGAGUACGGCGGAACACGUGAAAUUCCGUCGGAAUCCGGGAGGACCAUCUCCCAAGGCUAAAUACUCCCUAGUGACCGAUAGUGAACCAGUACCGUGAGGGAAAGGUGAAAAGCACCCCGGAAGGGGAGUGAAACAGUUCCUGAAACCGUGUGCCUACAAGUAGUUAGAGCCCGUUAAUGGGUGAUAGCGUGCCUUUUGUAGAAUGAACCGGCGAGUUACGAUUUGUUGCAAGGUUAAGCGGAAAAAGCGGAGCCGUAGCGAAAGCGAGUCUGAAUAGGGCGCAUAAGUAACAGGUCGUAGACCCGAAACCAGGUGAUCUACCCAUGUCCAGGAUGAAGGUAAGGUAAUACUUACUGGAGGUCCGAACCCACGCACGUUGAAAAGUGCGGGGAUGAGGUGUGGGUAGCGGAGAAAUUCCAAUCGAACUUGGAGAUAGCUGGUUCUCUCCGAAAUAGCUUUAGGGCUAGCCUCGAGGUAAAGAGUCAUGGAGGUAGAGCACUGUUUGGACUAGGGGCCCUUCUCGGGUUACCGAAUUCAGAUAAACUCCGAAUGCCAUGUACUUAUACUCGGGAGUCAGACUGCGAGUGAUAAGAUCCGUAG